rnacentral:rRNA from 1 species
ACGGGAGGCAGCAGUGAGGUAUAUUGGUCAAUGGACGAGAGUCUGAACCAGCCAAGUCGCGUGAAGGAAGACGGUUCUAUGGAUUGUAAACUUCUUUUGUCCGAGGGUAAAGUGAGAGAUGCGUCUCUUAUUGCAAGUAUCGGACGAAUAAGCAUCGGCUAACUCCGUGACAGCAGCCGCGGUAAUACGGAGGAUGCGAGCGUUAUCCGGAUUUAUUGGGUUUAAAGGGUGCGUAGGCGGAUGAUUAAGUCUGUGGUGAAGGCGUGCGGCUCAACCGUACCGAGCCAUGGAAACUGGUUGUCUUGAGUGUAAACGAGGUAGGCGGAAUGUGACAUGUAGCGGUGAAAUGCUUAGAUAUGUCACAGAACUCCGAUUGCGAAGGCAGCUUACCAGCAUACAACUGACGCUGAGGCACGAAAGCGUGGGUAUCAAACAGGAUUAGAUACCCUGGUA